GACGAACGCUGGCGGCGUGCCUUACACAUGCAAGUCGAACGGUAACAGGGAGCUUGCUCCGCUGACGAGUGGCGAACGGGUGAGUAAUGUAUCGGAACGUACCUUUUAGUGGGGGAUAACGUAGCGAAAGUUACGCUAAUACCGCAUAUUCUCUGAGGAGGAAAGCAGGGGACCUUCGGGCCUUGCGCUAAUAGAGCGGCUGAUAUCAGAUUAGCUAGUUGGUGAGGUAAAGGCUCACCAAGGCGACGAUCUGUAGCGGGUCUGAGAGGAUGAUCGGCCACACUGGAACUGAGACACGGUCCAGACUCCUACGGGAGGCAGCAGUGGGGAAUUUUGGACAAUGGGGGCAACCCUGAUCCAGCCAUGCCGCGUGAGUGAAGAAGGCCUUCGGGUUGUAAAGCUCUUUCGGCCGGGAAAAAAUCGCAUGGGUUAAUACCCUGUGUGGAUGAUGGUACCGGAAUAAGAAGCACCGGCUAACUACGUGCCAGCCGCCGCCGUAA
rnacentral:rRNA from 1 species